rnacentral:rRNA from 1 species
UACGAGGGGUGCAAGCGUUGCUCGGAUUUAUUGGGCGUAAAGGGUGGGUAGGUGGUCUCGUUUGUCAGAGGUGAAAUCCCUGGGCUUAACCUAGGAAGUGCCUCUGAAACGGCGAGACUUGAGUACUGGAGAGGAUUGCGGAAUACCCGGUGUAGCGGUGAAAUGCGUAGAGAUCGGGUGGAACACCAGCGGCGAAGGCGGCAAUCUGGAAAGUUACUGACACUCAACCACGAAAGCGUGGGGAUCAAACAGG